AGCUGAUGCAGUUUGGUGGCUUUUUUCCUCCCAGUGCCGCCGCAGCAGCUGUUCCCCUCUGGAGGUUUUGGAAACCUUCAACCUUACAGGACCCAAGUUUUCUUGCGGUCCUUUUUU
rnacentral:sRNA from 1 species